rnacentral:rRNA from 1 species
AUUGAACGCUGGCGGCAGGCCUAACACAUGCAAGUCGAGCGGAGCGGCGGACGGGCGAGUAAUGCCUAGGAAUCUGCCUGGUAGUGGGGGAUAACGUCCGGAAACGGGCGCUAAUACCGCAUACUAUCAGAUGAGCCUAGGGCGGAUUAGCUAGUUGGUGGGGUAAAGGCCUACCAAGGCGACGAUCCGUAACUGGGCUGAGAGGAUGAUCAGUCAAGUGGGAACUUAGACACGGGCAAGACUCCUACGGUAGGCAGCAUGGGGGAAUAUUGGAAAAGUGGCGAAAGCCUGAUCCAGCCAUGCCGCGUGUGUGAAGAGGGUCUUCGGAUUGUAAAGCACUUUAAGUUGGAAGACGUUACCAACAGAAUAAGCACCGGCUAACUUCGUGCCAGCAGCCGCGGUAAUUC